rnacentral:rRNA from 1 species
UACAGAGGGUGCAAGCGUUGUUCGGAAUUAUUGGGCGUAAAGGGAGUGUAGGCUGCUUGUUAAGUCUUCUGUGAAAUCUACGGGCUUAGCCUGUAAAGUGCAGAGGAAACUGGCGAGCUUGAGUGUCGGAGAGGGUAGCGGAAUUCCCGGUGUAGAGGUGAAAUUCGUAGAGAUCGGGAGGAACACCAGCGGCGAAGGCGGCAUCCUGGCCCUAUCCUGACGCUGAGGCGCGAGAGCGUGGGGAGCAAACCGG